rnacentral:rRNA from 1 species
AAUUUUGGACAAUGGGCGCAAGCCUGAUCCAGCCAUGCCGCGUGAGUGAAGAAGGCCUUCGGGUUGUAAAGCCCUUUCGCACGGAAAGAAAUCGCGCAUUCUAAUACCCUACGCGGCUGACGGUACCGUCAUAAGAAGCACCGGCUCACUACGUUCCUGCAGCCGCGGUAAGACGUAGGGUGCGAGCGUUAAUCGGAAUUACUUGGCGUAAAGCGUGCGCAGGCGGUUGAAUAAGACAGGCGUGAAAUCCCCGGGCUUAACCUGGGAACUGCGCUUGUGACUGGUCAGCUAGAGUACGGCAGAGGGGGGUGGAAUGCCACGUGUAGCAGUGAAAUGCGUAGAGAUGUGGAGGAACACCGAUGGCGAAGGCAGCCCCCUGGGCCGAUACUGACGCUCAUGCACGAAAGCGUGGGUAGCAAACAGG